rnacentral:tRNA from 1 species
AGAAAUAUGUCUGACAAAAGAAUUACUUUGAUANNGUAAAUUAUAGAGGUCUAAACCCUCUUAUUUCUA